GCGGGAAUAGCUCAGUUGGUAGAGCGCCGGCUUCCCAAGCCUGAGGUCGCGGGUUCGAACCCCGUUUCCCGCUCCU
rnacentral:tRNA from 1 species